rnacentral:rRNA from 1 species
CCUACGGGUGGCUGCAGUGGGGAAUAUUGGACAAUGGGGGGAACCCUGAUCCAGCCAUGCCGCGUGUGUGAAGAAGGCCCUCGGGUUGUAAAGCACUUUCAGUGAGGAAGAACGCCUGGUGGUUAAUACCCAUCAGGAAAGACAUCACUCACAGAAGAAGCACCGGCUAACUCCGUGCCAGCAGCCGCGGUAAUACGGAGGGUGCGAGCGUUAAUCGGAAUUACUGGGCGUAAAGCGCGCGUAGGUGGCUUGAUAAGCCGGUUGUGAAAGCCCCGGGCUCAACCUGGGAACGGCAUCCGGAACUGUGAAGCUAGAGUGCAGGAGAGGAAGGUAGAAUUCCCGGUGUAGCGGUGAAAUGCGUAGAGAUCGGGAGGAAUACCAGUGGCGAAGGCGGCCUUCUGGACUGACACUGACACUGAGGUGCGAAAGCGUGGGUAGCAAACAGGAUUAGAUACCCCGGUAGUC